UACAGAGGGUGCGAGCGUUGUUCGGAAUUAUUGGGCGUAAAGCGCGUGUAGGCGGUGAUGCAUGUCGGGUGUGAAAGCCCUCAGCUCAACUGAGGAAGUGCGCCCGAAACUGCAUCGCUGGAGUGCCGGAGAGGAAGGCGGAAUUCCCGGUGUAGUGGCGAAAUGCGUAGAUAUCGGGAGGAACACCAGUGGCGAAGGCGACUACCUGGCCUGUUUCUUGACGCUGAGGCGCGAAAGCUAGGGGAGCAAACGGG
rnacentral:rRNA from 1 species